UCCACCUCUUCUAACGACAUCCGUUUUCGAUUCCCUCUUCAAUUUUUCUUCCGUUUUCGAUUCAUGCUCUCCCACUGCGUCUGUUAAGAACUAUUUCAUCCCCAAUCUUCCAUCACCACAUCUCGCUUCCACCACCCAGUCCCAGUGAAUCCGCUGCCAAACCCACCUUCCACCCAAAUUGACACAACCUCCUUCAAUUUGGGUUUCAUGCGUUGAUUCUUCCACUUCUUCUAAAGCCCCCAUUCAAUCUGAAAUGAAGGUUUCCGAGGCUCUUUGCUUUUCUGAUAUUUGUUGAAGGUUACUUGAGAAGUCAAUUUCUGAAAUGGGUCUAUGGAGCGGAAGCGAUUGGAGAGCAAGCGAUUGGGAGCAGCAACAAAGAAGGGAAGCUAGGUGCCUAGAAACUUUGAAGAGUUUUGAGGCUCAGAAGUUUAUUGUAAUUUUGCUGCUUCAAUAACUCAUAAGUUAGUAGUCCAAAACCCAGAUUUGGCGGUGGCAAGCAGAAGAAGAAGUUUUGUUGAACCACUCUACAACAAAUGAUGAAUACAAUGGAGAGGAUUGUGGAGCGUCCCUUUGGUUAUAGCAGCACUUCACCUUUGAAGGCUAUAGAAGUCGAAGUACUUCAAGCAUGAAUCCAGAAUGAAAGGAAACAACAGGAUAGCCAGAGUUUUUUGGCCAGUUUUGGUGAAACUUUUGCAGGGGGUAGUAGAGAAAAAACUCCAUCUCCUGAAGCAUUCCACAAAAAGCAUAACCGUGGAGAUGAUCAGGAAGUGGGGUUCCUGGCGGCAUAGACAACCAUGUUCCUGCAAGAGCCUGUCAAAUAUGGAGAUGGAAAGAAGAAGGGGUAUGUGGGUAAGUGAUUCUGUUGCACUGGAUUGUGCUUCGCAUUGCAACUGGAUGUUCAUGUGAGAGAAUUGUUGAGGUGGGCUUAGUUGGAGUGAGAAGAUUGUUCUCUUAUAUGAACCCUUGCUGUCAAAUAUAAGCGUGACUCACUGUGUAUGGAGUUGCAACACCAAAAUAAAAUGUUGUUUUGGUAAUGGCUAAAAUAAAAUGUUGAUGGUAUAUUUCUAUUGCAUCACUACAUCUGAAACUGAUUGUGUAAAGUGUAGUAUUUCGAAAUGUGAGAUGCCACAAAAUAUUUUGUCUUUCGUGUAUGCAGAAAAAUAUAACAUUUUAUUUACGAAAAGUGUUCUGUUAUGAAUUGUGCAGCUGAAUCAAUGAAACAAAUCCCCCUCCCAUGUAAGCUGAAAUUUAUUAGAUAGAAAAUAUGUUAGUUUGAAAGAAAAUGUUAUUAAUUAUGAAGCUGAAUGAAUGCAGCCCCUCCCACUCCAUGUAAGCUGAAAUUUACUAGAUAAUAAAUAUUUUAAGUAUGAAAGGAAACCAACAAGCAGGUACCUAUGCUUAGUAAGAUUCAAUUAGGAUAGAAGUGUUCUCAUUGAAAAAGCUAUUUUAGUCGUUUAUUUAAAUAGAAGAAUAAUCGUACCAAGCUAAGCUAUCUUUUUGGCAUCUUUUUGUGUUAUUGGAGGUUUUUCCCAUUUCAAUGUUAUGGGGUUUCUGGUCCUUCUGUUUUGCUGCCAUCAGUUAUUAUAUAAGUAGCAGCUGAAAGAGUUGCUCAAUUGGUUUAUUCCAUGCUUUCUUCCAUAUUAUCACAAAGUUUGUCUAAACUUUACAUUGCAUUUUGUUAGUGGGGGGUGUAUAUUGUCAUGAAAGUGAAUCAUGUCAUGGUAAAUUUCCCUUCAAUUAGUUAGUGCGUCAUAAAUUGGUAAUAUGGGUUAACAAAUGCUUCAUAGUGAACUUAGGAGAAUUGUUCAGAUUCUUUGGUUCAGAACCUGUUGAGACUGGGUAACAGUGAUGUUGAUGUA